UCCGCAAUAGCUCAGUUGGUAGAGCAUCUGACUUUUAAUCAGAGGGUCGCUGGUUCGAGCCCUACUUGCGGAG
rnacentral:tRNA from 1 species